rnacentral:antisense_RNA from 1 species
UUUCAGCGAGCCGAGCAGCAGCGGGGCAGGCCGGUCCUGGCCGUAGACCGCGAGGAGCGCCUGCGCCUC